AUUGAACGCUGGCGGAAUGCUUUACACAUGCAAGUCGAACGGCAGCACGGGGGCAGCCCUGGUGGCGAGUGGCGAACGGGUGAGUAAUACAUCGGAACGUGCCCGGUCGUGGGGGAUAACGUAGCGAAAGUUACGCUAAUACCGCAUACGAUCUGAGGAUGAAAGCGGGGGACCUUCGGGCCUCGCGCGAUCGGAGCGGCCGAUGUCAGAUUAGGUAGUUGGUGGGGUAAAGGCCUACCAAGCCGACGAUCUGUAGCUGGUCUGAGAGGACGACCAGCCACACUGGAACUGAGACACGGCCCAGACUCCUACGGGAGGCAGCAGUGGGGAAUUUUGGUCAAUGGGCGCAAGCCUGAUCCAGCCAUUCCGCGUGCAGGACGAAGGCCUUCGGGUUGUAAACUGCUUUUGUACGGAACGAAAAGGCUCUGGCUAAUACCUGGGGCUCAUGACGGUACCGUAAGAAUAAGCACCGGCUAACUACGUG
rnacentral:rRNA from 1 species